UACGAGGGGUGCUAGCGUUGCUCGGAAUUAUUGGGCGUAAAGGGUAGGUAGGUGGUCUCAUUUGUCUGGGGUGAAAGCCUUGAGCUUAACUCAAGAAGUGCCUCAGAAACGGUGAGACUAGAGUCCUGGAGAGGGUCGUGGAAUUCCCGGUGUAGCGGUGAAAUGCGUAGAGAUCGGGAGGAACACCAGAGGCGAAGGCGGCGACCUGGACAGGCACUGACACUCAACUACGAAAGCGUGGGGAGCAAACAGG
rnacentral:rRNA from 1 species